AGAGAUUGGUUCUGGUUUUGUUUGGAGUCUCCUCGGUCAAAAGAACACGCAAAGCAAACCACCCACCCCCAACACAACGCCACACAACACAAACCGUGUGCAACACAAAGAAAGUCGGUGUUAACCUCCCUCUCUUCCAAACCCUAAUCGCCAUCCCCAACCCUCGUUUCUAUGACCGAGUGCUGUUGGGGCCGCUAUGUGUUAGCUUCGUCGUCGAUUCUUCGUUUCGUGAUUCUCCUGAUUCUCUUUCCACCAAAUUAUUCGGUUUGACGCCAUGGAUUUGGUACCCAGCGUUAAGGAAAAAUUGAACUAUUUUCGUAUUAAAGAGCUCAAAGAUGUGCUCACUCAGUUGCACCUUUCAAAGCAGGGGAAGAAGCAGGAUCUUGUUGAUCGAAUAUUAUCUGUACUCUCAGAUGAACAAGUUUCAAAAAUGUGGGCUAAGAAGAAUGCUGGUGGAAAGGAACAGGUGGCAAAAUUAGUUGAUGAUACCUAUAGGAAAAUGCAGAUAUCUGGGGCCACUGAUCUAGCAUCUAAGGGACAGGGGGCAUCGGAUAGUAGUAGUAUAAAGGUGAAAGGUGAAAUUGAUGAUUCCUUCCAGCCAGAUACAAAGAUUCGCUGUUUAUGUGGAAGUAGAUUGGAAACAGAGGAUUUGGUCAAGUGUGAUGAUCCAAGAUGCCAAGUGUGGCAACACAUCAGUUGCGUUAUUAUUCCAGAUAAACCUACAGAAGGCAUCCCACCAGUUCCUGAUAAGUUUUAUUGUGAACUAUGUCGGCUCACUCGUGCUGACCCAUUUUGGGUUGCAGUGGCACACCCUUUACUUCCUGUGAAGUUAACAACAACCAGUAAUCCAACUGAUGGGACCAACCCUGUGCAGAGUGUGGAAAGAACAUUUCAGCUUACUAGAGCAGACAAAGAUUUGGUUUCCAAACCGGAAUUUGAUGUUGAGGCUUGGUGUAUGCUCCUAAAUGACAAGGUUCCAUUCAGGAUGCAAUGGCCGCAAUAUACAGACCUGCAGGUCAAUGGUGUUCCUGUUCGAGCAACUAACAGACCUGGUUCACAGUUGCUUGGAGCUAAUGGCCGGGAUGAUGGUCCAAUUAUCACGCCAUACACAAAAGACGGAAUUAAUAAGAUUUCGUUAACAGGAUGCGAUGCUCGCAUUUUUUGUUUAGGGGUUCGUAUUGUUAGAAGGCGCAGCAUACAGCAGAUCCUAAACUUAAUUCCAAAGGAGUCCGAUGGUGAGCUAUUUGAAGACGCUCUUGCGCGGGUGUGUCGUUGUGUUGGGGGUGGAAACGCAGAUGGUGAUGCUGAUAGUGACAGUGAUUUGGAAGUGGUUUCAGAUACUUUCAGUGUCAACCUUCGUUGUCCUAUGAGUGGUUCAAGAAUGAAGAUUGCUGGAAGAUUCAAACCUUGUAUACACAUGGGUUGCUUUGACCUUGAAGUUUUCGUGGAAAUGAAUCAACGAUCAAGGAAGUGGCAAUGUCCUGUAUGUCUCAAAAACUAUGCUUUGGAGAAUAUCAUCAUUGACCCUUAUUUCAAUCGCAUCACUUCUAUGAUGCUAAAUUGUGGUGAAGAAACUACUGAGGUUGAGGUGAAGCCUGAUGGUUCUUGGCGUGUGAAGACAAAGGGUGAAAGUGAACGCCAGGAAUUAGGGAGUCUAGCGCAGUGGCAUCUUCCUGAUGGAUCCCCAUGCGUUUCAGCUGAUGGAGAUUUGAAGAGAGUGGAUACAUUGGCAUUGAAGCAGGUCAAACAGGAAGGUGUUUUUGACACUCCAACUGGUUUAAAACUUGGCAUCAGGAAGAAUCGCAAUGGAGAUUGGGAAGUCAGUAAACCUCAGGGCACAAACACAUCUUCUGGUAAUAAAUUGAAAGCGAUUUUUGGAAAUCCCGAACAGGUUGUUAUUCCGAUGAGCAGCAGUGCUACUGGAAGUGGCCGGGAUGGUGAUGAUCCUAGUGUAAAUCAGGGUGGUGGCGGGCAUAUUGACUAUUCCACUGCAAAUGGAGUUGAAAUGGAUUCUCUGUGUCUCAAUAAUGUUGAUUUAACGUAUGACUAUACUGGACAUGGCACUUCAGCUCAGGUGGGUGGUGCAGAAGUUAUUGUUCUUAGUGAUUCUGAAGAAGAUAAUGAUCUCUUGGUAUCUCCUCCAAUUGCGUAUAGGAACAAUCAAAAUGAUGCUACAGAUGGUUAUUCUGUACAGCCACCUGUAAUGGUUGAUUCGUACGCUGAUGAUCAUAAUCUUGGUGGAAAUUCAUGCUUAGGACUCUUUCCCAAUGAUGAUGAUUUUGGGAUGUCUUCCCUGUGGUCUAUGCCUUCUGGAAGGCAGGCUGGUCCUGGAUUUCAACUAUUUGGAUCUGAUGCAGAUGUGUCAGAUGCAUUGGUCCAUCUGCAACAUGGUCCUGUGAAUUGCUCUUCAUCACUAAAUGGUUAUGCAUUAGCGCCUGAUACUGCUUUGGGAUCUGGUGGUAUCUUGCAAGAUUCCUCUGCUGGUCGGUUGGAUGCUGAUUUGAAUGGUGGUUUGGUGGACAAUCCAUUAGCAUUUGGUGGUGAUGAUCCCUCACUUCAAAUUUUUCUCCCCACUAGACCAGCAGAUUCAUCCAUGCAGAAUGAAUUGAGAGAUCAGGCAAAUGUGGCUAACGGUGUCUGCACUGAGGAGGAUUGGAUAUCCCUAAGUCUUGGAGGUGGUGCUGGUGGUAACAAUGGUGAUGCUUCUACUCAAAAUGGAUUGAAUUCUAGACAUCAAAUCCCAACCAGAGAAGUUGGAACGAAUACUUUGGAUGAUACUGUACAUUCCUAAGCUUCAUAUCAAGUUUGUUUGAGGGGCUAUGAAGGAGGAUUGGGAGCUGGGUAUUCAGUUUCUUUGCAUCGAGCACUGCUAUACCUUCUGUUAAAUGCUUCUUUACUCCUUGGAAUGAAUGAUGUUAGAACUGACAGGCCAAGUAGGCAAAGGUCAGAUAGUCCUUUCUCAUUUCCUCGCCAAAGACGUCGCUUGUACCUUUCUAUUGAUUCAGAUUCAGAGUAAAAGUCAGACCUUGUGUCUCAAAAACUUUAGGUACUCUUCUUAAAACCAGAUUUCGUAUUUAUUAACUGAAGAAAGUUGAGAGGCAUUUUUGGUCCUCAUGAAAUGGCAGUUAAUACAUAUAUGUGGUCUAAGGCAUCUCUGGUGGAACAGAGCUACAAGUUACCCUCCCAAAAUGUUUGCACCCACCCCAUCGACAAGGAUGUUGGUCGUAAUGAUUCUUUGUGCUUGGUAUCUAAAUUGUCUUAUGUUGGUAGGCCAAGCUGGAGCUAUUAUUCCCAUCAUUUUUCGAAGAGGGUGUGCUGGAGGUAUACUGCUGCUUUUAUUGUAUAGUUGAUCAUUCGAAUAUGGUAGUUUAAACUUUGAAAUUUGGUGGGACAUUAUAUCAGCAUUUUUGUCUCUGCGGAGAGCAAUAACCUGUAAAUGAUUUAGCCAUAUCAGAUCCAACAGUUAAAUCAAAGAUAUUGUUUCUCUUAAGUUGGUCAUUUUUCUAGAAUGUUAUGGUGUUAUCAUUCCUCAUCA